UUAAUUUGAUAAACUUAUUUUUGAUGUCAUCUUAAAUGGAACAUUCUGAGUUUUUAUUUUAGAUUGUUAAUUGCUAGCAUAUAGAAAUUCAGAGGAUUUUAUAUAUUGACCUUAUAUACUGCAAGUUUGUUGAACUCAUUUCUAAAUUCUAAACAUACUUGAUUAGAGUACUUUGGAAAUUUUAUACAUAAGAUCAGGUCAUAUGCCAACAGACAUAGUUUGACUUCCUUUCCAUACUGGAAGCCUUAUAUUUAUUUUUCUAGACUACUUGCCAUGUCUGUAUCCUCCAGUACAAUGUUGAAAACAAGUGUCAAGAGUGGAAAUCCUUGUCUUGUUUCUAAUCUUGGAGAAGUUAGUGAACCUUUCAGAUAACCUAUGAUGACAUGUUAGUUUUUCAUGGAUCCUCUUUAAAAGGAAGACAGUUCCCUUAUCUGCCUCAUUUGCUGCAUAUUUUUCUCAUAGAGAAUUUGAGAAUUUUCAAGUGCCUAUGCGUCUUCUGAGCUGAUGAUGUGGUUUUUUUCUUUAUUAUGUGAAUAUAGUGCAUAGCACUAGUGGUAUUGUAUGUUGAACCAAAUUUUGCUUUUCUGAGGUAAAUACCCUUGACAUAGUGUAUAAUACUUUUUACAUGUUUCUGGUUUGUUUUACUAAUAUUUCCUUGAUGAUUUUUGCCCCUGUAUACAUAAGGUAUAUUGCUCUUCAUUUUCCAUAUUUGAAAUGUCUUUGUCUAGUUGUGGUAUCAGAGUAAACUAAAUCAGUAUACAAUGGGAAAUCAUGCCUUCUCCACUUUAUGGGAAUAAUUUGUAAUAAAUUAGUAUUAAUUGUUUAAGUGAUUCCAAUAAUUCACUAAUGAAUUCUUGAUGAGGUCAGAGAGGUUAAUCCUAAGAACAGUUACAUGAGCUUGGAAGGAGACCUUUCCCCAGCUGAGCCUUAGCCUGGGCCAUCACCUACAUCUGGACUGAAGAACCAGAGAAACUGUGAGUAAUAUGUGUGUGGUUUUGAACCACUAAGAUGUGUGGGAAUUUGUUAUGCACCAAGUCUUCAGUAAUAUACCUGACAGUAAUUGCAAUGUGGUAUUCUAGAUUAGUCUUGGAACAGAUGAAUAUAUCAUUAUUAGAAAUUCUGGUAAAAUAUGAAGGAAGUCUGUAGAUCAAUUAAUAGUUUUGAAACAUAGUGAAAUUCUUAGUUUUCAUGAAUAUACUAUGGUUAUAAUAGUAACAUUUUAGUUAGCUGAAGGGUAUAUGAAACUGUCUGUUCUACCUGUGUAUCUUUUUGUAAAUCUGAAAUUAUUUCAAAAUAAAUUUGUUUGCUAAAAUUAUUAUAUUUUUUAAAAGAAAACAAAGGCAUAAAAAAAACUGGCUUCCAGAGAUGAAUGGGCACAUAGGGAGAGAAUAGCAAAGUAGCACUCUUUUUAUCUAGUCACCUUUCCAAACCCAGGUGCACCUGCUUCAAGAGGGCUCCAUGAAGCUCCAGGGACUGUCAUCCUUUUUCUCCUUCUCCAUUACCCAGUAAGCAGUUGGAGUGUCAGCAACCACUUAUUUAGAAAAAGUUGCCUUUCCUUCACAUAUGCCAGAAAGCCCCAUGUGUAGACAUCAUUUAGCAGUGUAUAUUCAGGAUCCCACUGAAGCAUUUUUGGGAGAUAUGACUCUCAGAUAUUAGAAGCCAGGGAUAAGAAAUUUCAGUGACAGGGAACAUAAAUCAUAUUUCUGCAUUCAGGAUAAUGUUUUCUUGGUACAGGCAUUUCUUCUUCAAGUAAUCAAAAGACAACCGUACCUUCAAACCUUUCAGAAAAAUAUGUUCUAAUUUAGUUCUUUUGAUUCUACAGACUCCAUCAGGAAUCGUCUGGGACCGUGCAUUCUGUUGACACUCACAUUGUGGAAUCAUGUUGCCCCCUGCCAACCCUGAAGCCACCAAGGUAGCAGGUUUCAAAUAAUUCAUCAGUGAAGUCUUCUCAACCUGGUCAAUCAUGUGAACUUAGAAUAUGAUUCCUCCCCAGCUGAUCCUUCAGAUCCUUUGGCAUUUGAGAGUUGCUUUGUGUAUACGGCCCUUUAACGGAGCAAAUGGCCAGCCAGGAAACCAAAGUAUGGACAAGGGGAAAGAAGCAUCUGUGGAGGAAGUUUUACAAGCGACCCUCCUCAUCCAUGUGGGUGGCGUUGCCCAUAUGCUACAUGUCUGUGGGCCACUAUGUGUGUUUAAAGCUUUUUAGUAAAACGUUACUAAAAAGUAUGACUCACUGUGGUGAAAAAGGUGGCAAAACAGUGACAACAACUUGUCAUUGCUACAGCAACACGGAGAUGCAUUGACACCCUUCUUCAAUCCAGAGGAUGGGCCAUCAACUCACAAAAGUACAAGGCCUGGAACCAGCUGCAGAGUUCCUGUGGAUCACUUGGCCAGAUUCCCUGAGUGUCGGCCGGUCUGAGAAAUAAAGGAACAGACUACAAAAGAGAUAAAUUUUAAAGCUGGGUGUCCGGGGGAGACAUCACAUGUCAGCAGGUUCCAUGAUGCCCCGCAAGCGGUAAAACCAGCAAGUUUUUAUUAGUGAUUUUCAAAAGGGGAGGGAGUGUACGAAUAGGGUGUGGGUCACAGAGAUCACGUGCUUCACAAGGUAAUAGAAUAUCACAAGGCAAAUGGAGGCAGGGCGAAAUCACAGGACUGUGGCAAAAUUAAAAUUGCUAAUGAAGUUUCGUGCAUGCAUUGUCAUUGAUAACAUCUUAUCAGGAGACAGGGUUUGAGAGCAGACAACCAGUCUGUCCAAAAUUUAUUAGACGGGAAUUUCCUCGUCUUAAUAAGCCUAGGAGCACUAUGGGAGACUAGGGCUUAUUUCAUUCCUACAGCUUUGACCAUAAAAGAUGGCUGCCCCUGAAGCGGCCAUUUUAGAGGCCUACACUCAGGAUCCCAUUCUCUUUCUCAGGGAUGUUCCUUGCUGAGAAAAAGAAUUCAGUGAUAUUUCUCCCAUUUGCUUUUGAAAGAAGAGAAAUAUGGCUCUGUUCCGCCCGGCUCACUGGCGGUCAGAGUUUAAUGUUAUCUCUCUUGUUCCCUGAACAUUGCUGUUAUCCUGUUCUUUUUUCAAGGUGCCCAGAUUUUAUAUUGUUCAAACACACAUGCUCUACAAACACUUUGUGCAGUUAAUGCAAUCAUCACAGGGUCCUGAGGCGACACACAUCCUGCUCAGCUUACGAAGAUGAUGGGAUUAAGAGAUUAAAGUAAAGACAGGCGUAGGAAAUCACAAGGGUGUUGAUUGGGGAAGUGAUAAGUGUCCAUGAAAUCUUCACCAUUUAUGUUCAGAGAUUGCAGUGAAGACAGGAGUAAGAAAUUAUAAAAGUCUGAAUUUGGGGAACUAGUAAAUGUCCAUGAAAUCUUCACAAUCCACGUUCUUCUGCCAUGGCUUCAGCCGGUCCCUCGGUUCGGGGUCUCUGACUUCCCACAACAUCUCUCCUUCUCACUUAGUAUAUAUACACACACACGGUACAUGAUAUGUUUUGGUACAGGCAUGUAAUGUGAAAUAAGCACACAUCAUGGAGAAUUGGACAACUAUCUCUAUGAGCAAUUAUCCUUUGAGUUACAAACAAUUUAAUUAUACUUUUUAAGUUUUAUAAAAAUAUACAAUUAUUAUUGACUUUCAUAGUUACCCUGUUAUGCUAUCAAACAGUUUGUUUUAUUCAUUCUUUCUAUUUGUUUUGUAACCAUUAAACAUCCCUACCUUCCCCCAGCCCCCUGCUACCAUUUCCAGCCUCUGUUAACCAUCCUUCUACUCUCUAUGUCCAUGAGUUCAACUGUUUUGAUUUUUAGAACCCACAAAUAAGUGACAACAUGUGAUAUUUGUCUUUCUGUGCCUGGUUUAUUUCACUGAAGACAGUGAUCUCCAGUUUUAUCCCUGUUGUUGCAAAUGACUGGGUCUCUUUAUUUUUUAUGGCUUAAUAGUACUCCACUGUUUAUAUGCACCAUAUGUUCUUUAUCCAGUCAUCUGUUGAUGGACACUUAGAUUACUUCCAAAUCUUAGCUGUUGUAAACAAUGCUGCAACAAGCAUAGGAGUGCAGAUAUCUCGUUGAUAUACUGAUUUCCUUUCUUUGGGGUAUAUAUCCAGCAGCCUACUGCUGGGUAUAUUUGGUAGCUUGAUUUUGGUUUUCUGAGGAACCUCCAAACUGUUCUCCAUAGUGCUUGUGCUAAUUUACAUUCCCACCAACUGUAUACAAGGGUUGCUUUUCUCCACAUUCUCACCAGCAUUUGUUAUUACCUGUCUUUUGGAUAAAAGCUAUUUUACCUGGGGUGAGAUGAUAUCUCAUUGUAGUUUUGAUUGGCAUUUCUCUGAUGAUUAAUGAUUUUGAGCACCUUUCCAUAUGCUUGUUUGCCAUUUGUAUGUCUUUUCAGAAAUACUUAUUCCAAUAUUUUGUCCUUUUUUGGUUGGAUUAUUUGACUUUUUUCCUAUAGGGUUGUUUGAGCUGCCUAUAUAUUCUAGUUAUUAAUCCAUCAGAUGGGUAGUUUGCAAAUAUUUUUUCCCAUUCUGUGGAUUGUCGCUUCACUUUGUCGAUUAUAUCCUAUGCUGUGCAGGAGCUUUUAACUUGAUAUGAUCUCAUUUGCCCAUUUUUGCAUUGGUUGCCUAUGCUUGUGGGAUAUUGCUCAAGAAAUUUUCUCCUAGACCAACAUACUGGAGAGUUUCCUUAAUGUUUUCUUAUAGUAGUUUCAUAGUUGGAGGUCUUCAAUUUAAGUCUUUAAUCCAUUUUGAUUUGAUUUUUUUGCAUACAGUGAGGGACAGAGUUCUAGUUUCAUUCUUCUGCAUAUGGAUAACCAGUUUUCCCAGCACCAUUUAUUUAAGAGACUGGCUUUUUCCCCAGUGUACCUUCUUGGCAACUUUGUUGAAAAUGACAUAACUGUAGGGUUGUGGAUUUGUUCCUUGGUUUUCUAUUCUGUUCCAUAGGUCUAUAUGGGUAUUUUUAUUCCAAUACCUUGCUGUUUCAUUUACUAUAGCUCUCUAGUAUAAUUGGAAGUCAGGUAAUGUAAUUCCUCUAGUUUUGUUCUUUCUGCUUAGGAUAGCUAUGGCUAUUCUGGGUCUUUUGUUGUUCCAUAUCCUUAGCACAAUUUUGAUUACUAUUGCUUUUGUAGUAUGGUUUGAAAUCAGAAAGUAGCAUUUUACUACACAAACUUCAUUCUUUUUCAAAAUUAUUUUGUCUGUUCUGGAAAUCUAUUGCAUUAUAUAUGAAUUUUAGAGUAAAAUUGUCAAUUAGGGGAGAAAAUGUCACCUAGGAUUUAGCUAGGAAUUGCAUUAGAUAUAUUUGGAAAGUACCAGCAAGCUAAUGAUACUAAGCUUUCUAAUCAGUGAAAGCUCAAUGUAGUUAAUUUAUAAUAGUAUUAGUUUGUUUGAUAUGUUUUGUAGUCCUCAGUAUAUGUAUCUUAUACUUAUUUUAUUAAAUUAAUUCAUAGGUAUUUAACUUUUAUGCCAUUUUAAAUGAAAUGGUUUUCAAAAUUUUGUUUUUAGAUUGUCAAUUGCUAAUAAAUAAAAAUACAGUUGAUUUUGUAUAUUGACCUGUACUAAGCUGUACUACAAGCUUGCUUAUCCCUUUUUUCAUAUUUUGUUAUGUUUUAUUAGAGAUUUUAUGAUGUCUGUAGGCAGGAUCAUGUCAUUUGGAGACAUAAUUUGACUUUCCUUCCAAUCUGACUUUUUUAUAUUUAUUUUCUACACCAAUUACCUUGUUCAUAUCCUCCAAUACAGUGUUGAAUAAAACUGUGAAAGUGAUAGCCUUCUCUUGUUUCUAAUUUUACAAGAAAGUGUUUGAGCUUCUCAGAAGAUUUAGGAUGUCACGUGAGGUUUUCUGUGCUUUCAUGAUAAGGAAACUUUUCUUAUUUGCCUAACUUGUUGCAUGUUUUUAUAAUGAAUGAAAUUUCAAUUUAGCAGGUGCUUAUUGCUCAUCUUUUAAGAUGACCAUGUGUAUUGUGUCCCUUAUCUCUUAAUAUAGUUUAUGGCACUAAUUCUUUUUGUAUGUUGAACCAAAUUUGCAUUCGUAAGAUGUAUACCUUCGUCAAAAUUUAUAAAUUUUUACAUGUCUGUUAUUUGUUUUGAUAGUAUUUCCUUUAAUUUUUGUGUUUAUGUUCAUAAGUCAUAUUGAUCAUAGUUUUUCUUCAGUAACUUUGUCUAGCUGUGGUAGAAGGUUGAUAAUUCACAUUGGAAAGUGAUCUAUUCUUCAUGUUGCUCUUACUGUUUUUUAUGUGAAAGGUCUAAAUUGAUCUAGCACAAAUAGAAUUGAACACAUGAAAAGGAGAAAAAAUGUACAUUUUUUCAAGAUAAUUUUCAGACUUUGCAAACAAUUAUAUUGUAUAAGUGAAUAAAACCAAAUCAGAGUAGUAAAGAGAUGUAAUUGGGCUACAUAGAUGGAGAUUUAGAAAACACUAGAAAGGGAGAGAGAAAGGUGGGUGAUAAAUUACUCUUUUUAAUAUGAUCUCAUUGUUUUGCAUAUUUCUUUUUUUAAAUACAUUACUUACAAGUAUAGACAAAGAUGAAAAUAUAGGUUGACAAACAGGUGCUCAU